rnacentral:rRNA from 1 species
UACGUAGGGGCCUAGCGUUGUCCGGAAUUAUUGGGCGUAAAGAGCUCGUAGGCGGUUCGGCAAGUCGGAUGUGAAAUCUCCACGCUUAACGUGGAGGGGCCAUUCGAAACUGCUGUGACUCGAGUCCGGUAGGGGAGUGUGGAAUUCCCGGUGUAGCGGUGAAAUGCGCAGAUAUCGGGAGGAACACCAGUAGCGAAGGCGGCACUCUGGGCCGAUAUUGACGCUGAGGAGCGAAAGCCAGGGGAGCAAACGGG